rnacentral:lncRNA from 1 species
AGGAGAGGGAGGAAGAGGGAAGAUGGCGGCGGCCGUGAACCAGCGUGGCCUUAACCAGCCAUAGUUAUGAUAUUAUAAGGCAGUGAACAAGACGUGUGGUCUGAAGAUACACAACACCGAGACAGGACUGUGUGGUGCUCACAUGCCACGAGCAGAGUUCAAACAGCAUCCAAGCCCUAAAGACCAGAGCCAUGGACCAAUAUGGUGGAUGGCAUGUGUGCGCUUGUUCCAGAAGUGCUACUCAUCAUGGAGGCAAAUCCUGUGAGGACGUGGAAGACUUCACCUGGUUUCUCCGCUUUCCUCCCGGUGACACGGGGGAUACUUCGGGCAGAUACUGAACUGUCUGCUGCCAUUUACAGCCACAGUUACAUGGGAUUGUUUGUUCCUUCCCUGGGCUUCUACCUCUUCCUUGACUGGAACAGAAGCUAGGUGCUUAGAUAAACCUGGUCAAAUAUUUUAAA